AAUUUUCGGCAAUGGGCGAAAGCCUGACCGAGCAAUGCCGCGUGAAUGAAGAAGAUCUUCGGAUUGUAAAGUUCUGUUAUCAGGAAAGAAUAGCAUUAAUAGGAAAUGAUUAAUGUAUGACGGUACCUGAUGAGUAAGCCCCGGCUAACUAUGUGCCAGCAGCCGCGGUAAUACAUAGGGGGCGAGCGUUAUCCGGAAUUAUUGGGCGUAAAGAGUGCGUAGGCGGUUUAUUAAGUCUGACGUGAAAUCCCACAGCUUAACUGUGGAGGGUCGUUGGAAACUGAUAAACUUGAGUACGGUAGAGGUGAGUGGAAUUUCAAGUGGAGCGGUGGAAUGCGUAGAUAUUUGAAGGAACACCAGUGGCGAAGGCGGCUCACUGGGCCGUUACUGACGCUGAUGCACGAAAGCGUGGGGAGCAAACAGG
rnacentral:rRNA from 1 species